rnacentral:rRNA from 1 species
UACGGGGGGGGCAAGCGUUGUUCGGAAUUACUGGGCGUAAAGGGCUCGUAGGCGGCCAACUAAGUCAGACGUGAAAUCCCUCGGCUUAACCGGGGAACUGCGCUUGAUACUGGAUGGCUUGAGAUUGGGAGAGGGAUGCGGAAUUCCAGGUGUAGCGGUGAAAUGCGUAGAUAUCUGGAGGAACACCGGUGGCGAAAGGCGGCA